rnacentral:rRNA from 1 species
GACGAACGCUGGCGGCGUGCUUAACACAUGCAAGUCGAGCGGUAAGGCCCUUUCGGGGUACGACGAGCGGCGAACGGGUGAGUAACACGUGGGCGACCUACCCUCAGCUUCGGGAUAAGCCUGGGAAACUGGGUCGUAAUACCGGAUAUGACCUUCCCUCGCAUGGGGGUUGGUGGAAAGUUUUUCGGUCGUGGGAGUGGCCCGGCCGGCCUA